UUUGUUCCACUAUCCUUUCUUCUCCUGUACAUCCCUUUCUAUGCAAUCCAAAAGCCACCAUAUCAUCACAAUUUGCCACUAAAAAGCUCGCUCUUCAUAUCGCUUCACACAGCUCAAGCCAAAGCCACUCAACUAGCUCCUUUGUUCAGCGGCAUAGCCACACUUACGCUCCUCGCUCCAUCGCUCUAUCGCCUCAGAUCAAUUCCACUCCUUCGACAUUCCUAGCCUGCCAAAAAAAAAAAUCUAUACAAAAUUACUGCUUAUGUUUCUUUUCUCUGUGAUUGCGAUUGCAUGCUUGUCAUCUUCCGUGGCUUGCAUGACUGUCUGUUUCAAAAUUGUAUAAUAUGGGUCAUUACUUAAUGUUACACCAAUAGGACUAUUAUAAUCCAACCAACGGAGCAGCUAUUCCAAUAUGGGUGCCAGAUUAUGUUUUGGGGAGGUGGUUGUAAUCUGAAAUUUCCCAUGACAGAAUGCUGACAUCGGCAGAGCCAAGACAACAUGCAUCAUUUGAUGAAGAACAAAUUUUGAUUCAAACCUUGAGGACAAACACAUCUAAGAGAACCAAAGUUAGCAAUACAAACACCACAAGGAAGCCAAAAGGAAUAACAAGACAAUAAAAAAUAGAAAGAGCAAUUCCAUGCGUAGCUUAUAUUUCAUUUCCUGCACUUUACAUCAUGUAUUUCACUAUCUAUCUAUCUAUUUAUAUAUAGGAAUUGUGAAGCGCGCAAUAUAGCGUCGCCACCUCAUCAUUUAUAAUCCUUGCAACAGUGUCCAACUCAUCAUUUUUACUGACGUGUCACAUUGGAUGAUUGCUUCUUCUCUUUGCCAUCUCUCUAAA